UCCAGACUCCUACGGGAGGCAGCAGUGAGGAAUAUUGGUCAAUGGCCGGAAGGCUGAACCAGCCAAGCCGCGUGAGGGAGGAAGGCGCAGAGCGUCGCAGACCUCUUUUGCCGGGGGACAAAAGGCCGGACUCGUCCGGUCCUGAGGGUACCCGGAGAAAAAGCAUCGGCUAACUCCGUGCCAGCAGCCGCGGUAAUACGGAGGAUCCGAGCGUUAUCCGGAUUUAUUGGGUUUAAAGGGAGCGUAGAUGGGUCGUUAAGUCAGUUGUGAAAGUUUGCGGCUCAACCGUAAAAUUGCAAUUGAUACUGGCAGCCUUGAGUACAGUUGAGGUAGGCGG
rnacentral:rRNA from 1 species